CCUACGGGUGGCAGCAGUGAGGAAUAUUGGUCAAUGGACGCAAGUCUGAACCAGCCAUGCCGCGUGCAGGAUGACGGCUCUAUGAGUUGUAAACUGCUUUUGUACGAGGGUAAACCCCGAUACGUGUAUCGGGUUGAAAGUAUCUUACGAAUAAGGAUCGGCUAACUCCGGGCCAGCAGCCGCGGUAAUACGGGGGAUCCGAUGGUUAUCCGGAUUUAUUGGGUUUAAAGGGUGCGCAGGCGGCCUGUUCAGUCAGCGGUAAAAGCCCGGGGCUAAACCCCGGCGAGCGGUUGAAACUGGCGGGCUGGAGUUGGAGAGAAGUACGCGGAAUGCGCGGGGUAGCGGUGAAAUGCUUAGAUAUCGCGCAGAACCCCGAUUGCGAAGGCAGCGGACCGGCUCCACACUGACGCUGAGGCACGAAAGCGUGGGUAUCGAACAGGAUUAGAUACCCCAGUAGUC
rnacentral:rRNA from 1 species